UACGAAGGGGGCUAGCGUUGCUCGGAAACACUGGGCGUAAAGCGCACGUAGGCGGACUCUUAAGUCGGUGGUGAAAUCCUGGAGCUCAACUCCAGAACUGCCUUCGAUACUGGGAGUCUUGAGUCCGGGAGAGGUGAGUGGAACUGCGAGUGUAGAGGUGAAAUUCGUAGAUAUUCGCAAGAACACCAGUGGCGAAGGCGGCUCACUGGCCCGGUACUGACGCUGAGGUGCGAAAGCGUGGGGAGCAAACAGG
rnacentral:rRNA from 1 species